rnacentral:rRNA from 1 species
AGUGAACGCUGGCGGCAGGCCUAAUACAUGCAAGUCGAACGGCAACACAGUAAGCGCUUGCCUCUACGGGUGGCGACGGGCGGAUGGGUGAGGCAUGCAUCGCAAUCCUCUAUUACGGGGGGGACAACGUAAGGCAACUUAUGCUAAUAGCGCAUAUGAUCUACCGCAGGAAUCAAUGGUUCAUCGGACCUUUCCCGACUCAAUUAGCUGGAUCCGGGUCGCAUUAGCUAGUUGGUAAGGUAACGGCUAACCAAGGCAACGAUGCGUAGCCGACCUGAGAGGGUGAUCAGCCACACUGGAACUGAGACACGGUCCAGACUCCUACGGGAGGCAGCAGUAGGGAAUAUUGCGCAAUGGGCGCAAGCCUGAUCCAGCCAUGCCGCGUGGGUGAUGAAGGUCUUCGGGUCGUAAAGCCCUUUUGUUAGGAAAGAAAAGAAGCGUGUGAAUACACGGCUGUUCUGACGGUACCCAAAGAGUAAGCACCGGCUAACUUCGUG